CCUGGUCCAGGUGCCGCCUUGCCACUGGAGGAAUCCGGGUUCCAGCCUGGGAUCUAGCUCACUGCAGGAGGAUUUGACACCUGUGCGUCCAGCAUGGGGGUUUCUUGGCUGGUGCCUAGUGGUGGGGCGACCGCCAUCCUGUGGACCAGCCAGGACCCUGAAGGGUGACAGUGGCUGUCGGCUGUGACACUGGACAGGAGGCCUGAGCCUGCAACGUCUCUGAAAGGCCAAGACACAGAGACCUCUCCCAGGGCGUGAAGCUGCAGGUCAUCCUCACCCCUGGCUACUGUCCUCUGGGCUUUGGCUCAUCUGCUACCCUCGAAUCUCUGCACCCAAGAUGUUCUUCAGGAAAAUUAAUGAGGCCCAAACCAUGGAUGGCCUUGAGAAGGCUAACCUUCGGAAACAC